AUUGAACGCUGGCGGCAUGCCUUACACAUGCAAGUCGAACGGUAACAGGUCUUCGGAUGCUGACGAGUGGCGAACGGGUGAGUAAUACAUCGGAACGUGCCUAGUAGUGGGGGAUAACUACUCGAAAGAGUGGCUAAUACCGUAUGAGAUCUACGGAUGAAAGCAGGGGAUCGCAAGAACUUGUGCUACUAGAGCGGCCGAUGGCAGAUUAGGUAGUUGGUGGGAUAAAAGCUUACCAAGCCGACGAUCUGUAGCUGGUCUGAGAGGACGAUCAGCCAAACUGGGACUGAGACACGGCCCGAACUCCUACGGGAGGCGGCAGUGGGGAAUUUUGGACAAGGGGCGCAAGCCUGAUCCAGCAAUGCCGCGUGCAGGAUGAGGGCCUUCGGUUUGUAAACUGCUUUUGUACGGAACGAAAAGCCCUGGGUUAAUACCCUGGGGUCAUGACGGUACCGUAAGAAUAAGCACCGGCUAACUACGUGCCAGCAGCCGCAGUAAGAC
rnacentral:rRNA from 1 species